GGGUAGAGCGUUUCACCUCCACUCGUUGAGGUGAUUUACGGACUUUUAAUCCGCUGGUCGAGCGUUCGAAUCGCUCACGCCCCACCA
rnacentral:tRNA from 1 species